GCCUGGGUGGCUCAGUCGGUUAAGCGUCUGACUUGAGCUCAGGCCACGAUCUCACGGUCCGUGAGUUCGAGCCCCGCGUCGGGCU
rnacentral:tRNA from 1 species